rnacentral:sRNA from 1 species
UAGGAGGUAAAGGGAGUGGGGUUUGGC